ensembl:snRNA U6 U6 spliceosomal RNA
GUGCUCAUUUCAGAAGCACAUAUACUAAAAUUAGAACAAUACAGAGAAGAUUAGAAUGCCUCCUGGCAAAGGUGACAUGCAAAUUUAUGAAGCAUUCUGUAUUUGU